AGCAGCCGCGGUAAUUCCAGCUCCAAUAGCGUAUAUUAAAGUUGUUGCAGUUAAAAAGCUCGUAGUUGAAUUUCGGGGUCAGUAGGUUGGUCGUGCCACUGGCAUGUACUGGCUUCACUGAUUCCUCCUUCUUGUAGAACCGUAAUGCCAUUAAUUUGGUGUUGCGGGGAAACAGGACUGUUACUUUGAAAAAUUAGAGUGUUUAAAGCAGGCUAACGCUUGAAUACAUUAGCAUGGAAUAAUGAAAUAGGACGUUCGAUCCUAUUUUGUUGGUUUCUAGGAUUGACGUAAUGAUUAAUAGGGAUAGUUGGGGGCAUUAGUAUUCAAUUGUCAGAGGUGAAAUUCUUGGAUUUAUUGAAGACUAACUACUGCGAAAGCAUUUGCCAAGGAUGUUUUCAUUAAUCAAGAACGAAAGUUAGGGGAUCGAAGACGAUCAGAUACCGUCGUAGUCUUAACCAUAAACUAUGCCGACUAGGGAUCGGAUGAUGUUAAUUUUUUAAUGACUCAUUCGGCGCCUUAA
rnacentral:rRNA from 1 species